rnacentral:rRNA from 1 species
GACGUAGGGCGCGAGCGUUGUCCGGAUUUAUUGGGCGUAAAGAGCUCGUAGGCGGCUUGUCGCGUCGAAUGUGAAAACUUGGGGCUCAACCCUAAGCCUGCAUUCCGAUACGGGCAGGCUAGAGUUCGGGUAGGGGAGACUGGAAUUCCUGGUGUAGCGGUGAAAAUGCGCAGAUAUCAGGAAGAACACCGGUGGCGAAGGCGGCUCUCUGGGCCUUACCUGACGCUGAGGAGCGAAAGCGUGGGUAGCGAACAGG